rnacentral:rRNA from 1 species
UGAGGAAUUUUGCGCAAUGGGAGCAAUCCUGACGCAGCAACGCCGCGUGGGUGAUGAAGGCCUUCGGGUCGUAAAGCCCUGUCAGGUGGGAAGAAUGUCCCGGGACUGAACAGGUUCCGGGAGUGACGGUACCACCAGAGGAAGCACCGGCUAACUCCGUGCCAGCAGCCGCGGUAAUACGGAGGGUGCAAGCGUUAUUCGGAAUUACUGGGCGUAAAGCGCGUGUAGGCGGUCCUGCAAGUAUGAUGUGAAAGCCCCGGGCUUAACCCGGGAAGUGCAUUGGAAACUGUGUGACUUGAGUACUGGAGAGGAUGGGGGAAUGCCCGGUGUAGAGGUGAAAUUCGUAGAGAUCGGGAGGAAUAGCAGUGGCGAAGGCGCCCAUCUGGACGGUAACUGACGCUGAGACGCGAAAGCGUGGGGAGCAAACA